CUGGCUGACGCCGUUCUUGAUCCCGUUGAUGCUCGCUCUGCCGUUCCCGAUUCGCUUGAUCCCGUUCUCGAUCCGGUUGACCCCGUUCUCGAUCCCGCCGUGCCGCCGCGGGUUUCGCCGCCUCCUCGGCCUCGUCGGGCUCCAAACCCAGAACCAACCACGAGUGGAUGAGGGACGGGACGUAUCCUUGCACCAGCGGCUCCAACAACGCCGGCUGCCCCAUUAAGCGCUGCAGCAAACGAAGGGCGCGGGGGGCGGGGUCCGGGACCCCCGUCAGAUAGCGGAGGAAGCCCGUCACCACGGGGGGGGAAGCGAAAGCGGCCAAAGCCAAGAGAACCCGGGGUCUCCAACCCCGCGCUUUGGGGUCCCCCAGCAGGGACACCAAAGUCCCCAACCCCCCCGCCGCCCUCACCUUGGCCCGGUUGACAGCUUCGCGGCACAGCAGGCACAGCGCCCGCAGCGCCGGGCCGCCGCCGUGGCACGCGGCGCCGGUGAGGGGCAACCUCUUGCCCACCCCCCCCGGGGAGACGCCGUCCCUCCCGUCGGGCGUCACCAUCCGCGUCACCUCGCGGGUGACGGUCGCGUUGGGGGCCGGCGGCCAGCUGGGCCAAGGGACGGAGAGCCGGGAGAGCGUCGUCCAAGGAGGAGGUGGGGGGUUCCGUCAGGUGGCGGAGGGCGCGGGUGACGGACGGGCAGGCCGGGUGGCUCGGGGCCAUGGCGGCCAAGCGGGAGGCCAAGGCGCGGAGGGCACCGGCGCGGCACAGGGAGACGCGGCAGCGGGGGGAAGCGGCGAGGAUGCGGAGGGCGCGGGACGCGCUGUGAAGGCACUCCGGGCUGGAGCAGGUGGAGGUCAGGGACACCAGGAGGGGACCGGCGCCUGCGGGGACAAGAAAGGGGGAGGGGAUGCUGAUCUAGAACCAGCUGUGGGUGGAGAACCCAUCGGGGACAUCGGUUGGGGACAAUAG
rnacentral:lncRNA from 1 species